CAGUGAUGAAGUCUGACAUACACUAUUUUAACUGAGUGAACGAAGUCAUCAUCAUUAAAGGGACAAAUUGAAAUUGCAUGCCUGGUAAGAUGCAGUGAGGAAGUACAGCCCCUCUUCUGUGAUAUUCCUGCAGAAAAUGAGUAACUUGAAUCAAAUAAUGAGAAUUCAUCGGACGCUCAAAUUGAGGAACAGUUAACAAAAUAACUGGUCUAUAAUUUUUUUAUAGUGUCAAAGUCAAGAAGAACCAUUCCUGAAUGAAGAGCACCAAAAAGACUAGAUGGCAACAUGUGGUUUUCUGAACUGGUUGUGUUUUCUGUAAAGAGUUUUAUCAAGACCAUGAGAAAACUUGAAUGGAGUUUGAAACUUACAUGACAGACAGGUUUAAACAAUGGGGAGGCAUCAGGCUUAGAAGAGUCUCUGAGAACAAAGACAACCUACAACUAUAUCCUCUAUGAAGAAAAAAUGUUUGGAAAAAGCUGUGAGUUGAUGCACCACGGAACACACGUACUCCAGUGUAAUUAUGCCUGAGAGUUGGCGAUAGCUGAUACAGUUGUGUAAUAGAGUCUACUCUUUGUUGCAUGGAUAAUGUUGAUCCGAAUCCCAGGAGAGCCAAUCUUUUUCAACAAGUCAUGAGAAAACUGCAAAUUCUUUCCUCUGGAUUAUAAAAGAAGAGCAUUGCCCAUUGCCUCAGUGCUUGAUCUUGAAAACAAUGAUAUUAUGCCUCCUUGAUACAGAAAUUUCAAUCACUGGAAAACAUACUUUCGUUGAGGAAUCCUUUGAUUUCUUCACAAAAGAUUCUGUACUCCUGUGGAAUCUACCGUUUCACAAAGACCUCCUUCCCUUCAGCCCACGUUGCUUGGAUUUAAAGCAGGUUUACAUAUACAAACCACUUGAGCAUUUUGAAUAAAUCAGUAAAAACUCAGCAUAAAAUCUGAUUUGAUGUAUUUCUCCAAUGUCAAAUUGGUUUUUGGCUAAAGGCAGGACAACGUGAACAAAGUGGUUGUUUUUAAGAAAUGAGACUCUG